GAUGAACGCUAGCUACAGGCUUAACACAUGCAAGUCGAGGGGUAACAAGAGAAAAGCUUGCUUUUCUUGUUGACGACCGGCGCACGGGUGAGUAACGCGUAUCCAACCUGCCUAUAACUAGGGAAUAACCUUGCGAAAGUAAGACUAAUACCCUAUGAUUUCCUUUGAUGACAUCAGAUUAGGAAUAAAGAUUUAUCGGUUAUAGAUGGGGAUGCGUCUGAUUAGCUUGUUGGCGGGGUAAUGGCCCACCAAGGCAACGAUCAGUAGGGGUUCUGAGAGGAAGGGCCCCCACAUUGGAACUGAGACACGGUCCAAACUCCUACGGGAGGCAGCAGUGAGGAAUAUUGGUCAAUGGGGGGAAGCCUGAACCAGCCAAGUAGCGUGCAGGAUGACGGCCCUAUGGGUUGUAAACUGCUUUUAUACAGGAAUAAAGUUAGCCACGUGUGGUUAUUUGUAGGUACUGUAUGAAUAAGGACCGGCUAAUUCCGUGCCAGCCGCCGCGGUAA
rnacentral:rRNA from 1 species